GCCUGGAUAGCUCAGUUGGUUAGAGCGUGGUGCUGAGAACAGCGAGGUUGCGGGUUCGAUCCCUUGCAGAUU